UCUUGGAGGUGUUCUCAACCGAGGAACAAAUGUUGGCCAAACGCGUGUUUCACUGGGACAAUAGUGAAUGGUGCACACUUGCUUCGCCAAGCCACAGAACAAAAAGUCACAUUUAAGAGUUGCUGGUGUAACAAUUGGAAGAACAUAUUUGACUCCUCUCUUCUACAUGCGGCUAAUGAGACGUCCAACAGAUGAACGGUCGUCAAGAAGAACAUCCCCUUCAGCAGCAGGGUGGGGCUUCUCUUUGAGGCAGGAGGAUCCACAGCCUCCCCACAUUAAAGAGGAAGAGGAGGAUCUCUGGGUUACUCAGGAGGGAGAGUGUCUUCCAGGGCAGGAGGAGGCUGAUCUCACCAAGUUUCCACUGACUGUUCUCUCUGUGAAGACUGAAGACCAUGAAGACAAACCACCUGAGUCCUCACACCUUCAUCACAGUCCAAGUGGACAGUCUUAGGUCUCUGCAGAUCUUCUCAUCAACACUGUCAAGGAGCUGGAUCUUUUUGGCUUCUACCGAGCCAGUCGGUUCACCUUGCCUCCCAGUCCCUUUUCCACCGAUGGAAGUCUCUUUUGGAGCUGUAGAAUCUGGACAACUGUGAAGAACAUCUUCUCCCUGAGCAACAGGAGUGGAGCUUCAGGAUGGGGAAGGAGGAGCCACAGCCCUCCCACAUUAAAGAAGAAGAAGAGGAGGAGCCACAGUCCUCCCACAUCAAAGAAGAAGAGGAGGAACACAGCAUCAGUCAGGAGGGAGAGCAUCUUGAACGGUUGGAGGAGUUCCCAGUGAUUGGUGUGAUUGUGAAGAGUGAAGAUGAUGAGGUCAAAAGUGAAAGUGAGGAGAAGAGAGAGGCGGAGCCUCCAAGCAGCAGCUCAACUCAACACAUGACAACAGAAGCUGAUGGAGACCACUGUGGAGGAUCUCAAGCAGACAAGAUCUUAGCUCCACUAUCAGAUAGUGAGGACACAACGUCUCACUCUCCUGACACUGAUGAAGAAGACUCUGAAGAUGAUAAGACAUGUCACACUGACAACACACACUUUACGUGUUCUCACUGUGACAAAACGUUUAAAUACUGUGGUAAUCUAAAAGUACACAUGAGAAUACACACUGGAGAAAAACCUUUUACCUGCUCAGAAUGUGGUAAAAGAUUUGCACGAAAAAAUGUGUUAAAAGUACACAUGAGAACACACACUGGAGAAAAACCUUUUACCUGUUCAACAUGUGGUAAAGAUUAUACUCAAAGGCAAUAUUUGAAAGUACACAUGAGAACACACACUGCAGACAAACCAUUCAUGUGCUCAGUUUGUAGCAAAAUAUUCUCUGUAAAAGCAAAUUUAGUAAUGCACUCAAGAAUACACACUGGUGAAAAGCCUUUUAUCUGUUCAGAAUGUGGUAAAGGUUUUAUACAAAGACAGCAUUUGAAAAGACACAUGAAAAUACACACUGGAGAGAAAGUGUAGAGUUGCAGUGUUUGUGGUGAAAGAUUAUCUUCUAAGUACCAGUGUAAGAAACACAAGUGUGCUGGUGAGAACAGCAGCAGCAAAUGAAGAUGCAGGAUUUGAAAUAAACUGUCAAAACUCA